rnacentral:rRNA from 1 species
GACGAACCGCCCGAACGUUGUUCGGAAUCACUGGGCUUAAAGGGAGCGUAGGCGGGCUGCCAAGUCCGGGGUGAAAUCCUCCAGCUUAACUGGAGAACUGCCUCGGAUACUGGAAGUCUCGAGGAGGGUAGGGGCAAGUGGAACCGUGGGUGGAGCGGUGAAAUGCGUUGAUAUCCAUGGGAACUCCGGUGGCGAAGGCGACUUGCUGGACCCUUUCUGACGCUGAGGCUCGAAAGCCAGGGGAGCGAACGGG